rnacentral:rRNA from 1 species
GAUGAACGCUGACAGAAUGCUUAACACAUGCAAGUCUUUGGCGAAUCUGUGCUUGCACAGGCUAGCCAAGGCGGACGGGUGAGUAACGCGUAAAGAACUUGCCCUGCAGACAGGGAUAACAGACGGAAACGACUGAUAACACCUGAUACAGUUGCCGGCACGCAUGUGCCUGGCAAUGAAAAGAGAUGCUGCAGGAGAGCUUUGCGUCCUAUUAGCUUGUUGGUGAGGUGACGGCUCACCAAGGCGAUGAUAGGUAGCCGGCCUGAGAGGGUGAACGGCCACAAGGGGACUGAGAUACGGCCCUUACUCCUACGGGAGGCGGCAGUGGGGAAUAUUGGACAAUGGGGGCAACCCUGAUCCAGCAAUUCUGUGUGCACGAAGAAGGUUUUCGGAUUGUAAAGUGCUUUCAGCAGGGAAGAAGAAAGUGACGGUACCUGCAGAAGAAGCGACGGCUAAAUACGUG